rnacentral:lncRNA from 1 species
CGCCAUGGCAGGGCCUCGUCCAUCCAGCCUGGGCCGCGCUGGCCGGAGCAGACCGCAAGCCGCCCGCUGGGAGCCCAGCCAAGAGCGGUGUUUUUCCAGGUCCGCGCAGGGCCACGGGAACCCGCGUGUUUGUUUGGUGGGAAUGGAUUCCUGGAAAACUAGACGGAAGGCUCUCCCAGCUGCUGACUCCGCUCUGUUGAUGGAUACCAUCCAGUGUCACCACAGGGGCUUCCAGUGCCUGGAAUUUUGGUGGGAGGAGAGCAACUUCAGGAAUGAAGGAGGAGGUAACAGCAGCAGAGAUUCAAGGCAGAACUUGGGGAGACGCCCAUCAAAGCAGGUGAGGAUGGGGAAAAAGGACCGAGGGUGGGCCCAUCGGUCCCUUCCAGAACUCCCACUGGACUGUCAAACGGGGUUGAGCGGACAGCUGAGCCCUGGAGCCUGGGGACGAGAUGUUCCAUCCUCUGAGCAGACUGAGGCCGGAUGCACUGCUUGGAGCCGACCCCGCACCAGCUCCAGCUCCCUUCCUUGGCUGCAGGGUCUUCUUUGGAGUGAGGGUCGGCCCUCUCGGCGCCUCAGGGAGCGCAGGGCCCUUCGGAGGCAAGUGGUGUGGGGGCCUCUCCCAUGUGGGGGGCUCUGUUAGACCUCCUUCCUUCCUCUUCUCGUUGGCGGCGAGGCUGGAGGGUGUGCUCUUUCCAGACCCUUCUCUCUCACGUGUCUGAACAGUCAGAGGAAGCGGC